rnacentral:rRNA from 1 species
GAUGAACGCUGGCGGCGUGCUUAACACAUGCAAGUCGAACGAUGAAGCCCAGCUUGCUGGGUGGAUUAGUGGCGAACGGGUGAGUAACACGUGAGUAACCUGCCCUUAACUCUGGGAUAAGCCUGGGAAACUGGGUCUAAUACCGGAUAGGAGCGUCCACCGCAUGGUGGGUGUUGGAAAGAUUUAUCGGUUUUGGAUGGACUCGCGGCCUAUCAGCUUGUUGGUGAGGUAAUGGCUCACCAAGGCGACGACGGGUAGCCGGCCUGAGAGGGUGACCGGCCACACUGGGACUGAGACACGGCCCAGACUCCUACGGGAGGCAGCAGUGGGGAAUAUUGCACAAUGGGCGAAAGCCUGAUGCAGCGACGCCGCGUGAGGGAUGACGGCCUUCGGGUUGUAAACCUCUUUCAGUAAGGAAGAAGCGAAAGUGACGGUACCAGCAGAAGAAGCACCGGCUAACUACGUGCCAGCAGCCGCGGUAAUACGUAGGGUGCGAGCGUUAUCCCGAAUUAUUGGGCGUAAAGAGCUCGUAGCGGUUUGUCGCGUCUGUCGUGAAAGUCCGGGGCUUAACCCCGGAUCUGCGGUGGGUACGGGCAGACUAGAGUGCAGUAGGGGAGACUGGAAUUCCUGGUGUAGCGGUGGAAUGCGCAGAUAUCAGGAGGAACACCGAUGGCGAAGGCAGGUCUCUGGGCUGUAACUGACGCUGAGGAGCGAAAGCAUGGGGAGCGAACAGGAUUAGAUACCCUGGUAGUCCAUGCCGUAAACGUUGGGCACUAGGUGUGGGGACCAUUCCACGGUUUCCGCGCCGCAGCUAACGCAUUAAGUGCCCCGCCUGGGGAGUACGGCCGCAAGGCUAAAACUCAAAGGAAUUGACGGGGGCCCGCACAAGCGGCGGAGCAUGCGGAUUAAUUCGAUGCAACGCGAAGAACCUUACCAAGGCUUGACAUGUUCUCGAUCGCCGUAGAGAUACGGUUUCCCCUUUGGGGCGGGUUCACAGGUGGUGCAUGGUUGUCGUCAGCUCGUGUCGUGAGGUGUUGGGUUAAGUCCCGCAACGAGCGCAACCCUCGUUCCAUGUUGCCAGCACGUCGUGGUGGGGACUCAUGGGAGACUGCCGGGGUCAACUCGGAGGAAGGUGAGGACGACGUCAAAUCAUCAUGCCCCUUAUGUCUUGGGCUUCACGCAUGCUACAAUGGCCGGUACAAUGGGUUGCGAUACUGUGAGGUGGAGCUAAUCCCAAAAAGCCGGUCUCAGUUCGGAUUGGGGUCUGCAACUCGACCCCAUGAAGUCGGAGUCGCUAGUAAUCGCAGAUCAGCAACGCUGCGGUGAAUACGUUCCCGGGCCU